GUGCAGCAGCCGCGGUAAUACCGGCAGCUCGAGUGAUGGCCACUCUUAUUGGGCCUAAAGCGUCCGUAGCUGGCCGACCAAGUCUCCCGGGAAAUCCACCCGCCCAACGGGUGGGCGUCCGGUAGAAACUGGCCGGCUUGGAACCGGAAGGCUCAGAGAGUACGUCCGGGGUAGGAGUGAAAUCCCGUAAUCCCGGACGGACUACCGAUGGCGAAAGCACUCUGAGAAGACGGCUUCGACAGUGAGGGACGAAAGCUCGGGUCUCAAACCGGAUUAGAUACCCUGGUAGUCC
rnacentral:rRNA from 1 species